rnacentral:rRNA from 1 species
GAGCGUGGGACCUGAUUUCGUAGUAGUCAAGCGAUGGGGUGACGCAGGAAGGUAGCUCCGCCAGGCGAUGGUUGUCCUGGUGUAAGCGUGUAGGGAAGCUGGUAGGCAAAUCCGCCGGCUACAUAUCCUGAGACGUGAUGCGUAGCCGUUUGAGGCGAAGUAGAGUGAUCCUAUGCUGCCGAGAAAAGCCUCUAGUGAGUGCAUGCACGGCCCGUACCCCA